rnacentral:misc_RNA from 1 species
GAGCUGGACAAGUUGCAAACUGCAAACUUUGAUCAGAAGAUUGGUGUCCAGAUUUUAAGAAUGCUCUUAAGGUUUUUAUCUUUUGUUCUAGUCAAAACACAAAAACUUCAGUUUUAUGGAAUCAAUAGCAAGCACAAAUAGUCAGUCACACAGCAAUUCCAUCUAACUCUUUUUGGGUGAAAAAGAACUUGUUACGUAUCAGAGGAGGAAGU